UACGUAGGCAGCGAGCGUUGUUCGGAGUUACUGGGCGUAAAGAGUGCGUAGGCGGUUUUCUAAGUUUGGUGUGAAAUCUCCCGGCUUAACUGGGAGGGUGCGCCGAAAACUGGAAGGCUUGAGUAUGGGAGAGGUAAGCGGAAUUCCUGGUGUGGCGGUGAAAUGCGUAGAUAUCAGGAGGAACACCUGCGGUGUAGACGGCUUACUGGACCAUAACUGACGCUGAGACACGAAAGCGUGGGUAGCAAACAGG
rnacentral:rRNA from 1 species